rnacentral:rRNA from 1 species
GAUGAACGCUGGCGGCGUGCCUAAUACAUGCAAGUCGAGCGAACGGACGAGAAGCUUGCUUCUCUGAUGUUAGCGGCGGACGGGUGAGUAACACGUGGAUAACCUACCUAUAAGACUGGGAUAACUUCGUGAAACCGGAGCUAAUACCGUAUAAUAUUUUGAACCGCAUGGUUCAAAAGUGAAAGACGGUCUUGCUGUCACUUAUAGAUGUAUCCGCGCUGCAUUAGCUAGUUGGUAAGGUAACGGCUUACCAAGGCAACGAUGCAUAGCCGACCUGAGAGGGUGAUCGGCGACAGUGGGACUGAGACACGGUCCAGACUCCUACGGGAGGCAGCAGUAGGGAAUCUUCCGCAAUGGGCGAAAGCCUGACGGAGCAACGCCGCGUGAGUGAUGAAGGUCUUCGGAUCGUAAAACUCUGUUAUUAGGGAAGAACAUAUGUGGAAGUAACUGUGCACAUCUUGACGGUACCUAAUCAGAAAGCCACGGCUAACUACGUG